rnacentral:piRNA from 1 species
UGCCACAAGCAUCUGCAGAUUGGGUCUCCC